GUUUGAUUUCCUGUAAACUGAAAAGGAUAUCUAAAGGCUGGAUUCAAUUCUGGUUAAACAUUUUGGGCAAGAAUACUUUGUGGUUGAUACUGUGUUCCUCAUUUUCGUUACACGAGGGGGCACAUAAUAUCUGGUUUUUCCACUGUUAGUGAUGUUAAGUAUUGUUCCUUGAAUAAGGUGGUAACAGCCAGAACUCUCCAUUGUGAAGUUAGUUUUUGCCCUCAUGACUAGUAAGUAAACUGUGAAGUCAUGCUUUGGCGCCACUGUGAAUGUUCAGUUACCCAUUGCCCUUUUGCCUAAGAUUUUAGCAUGCGUUGAUGAUUAUAACCCUAAUGAAAUAUUCCAUUCAAGUGACAAAAUGGUGAUUUCCCCAAUUCUAUCAUUUCCUUUACACUUAUCAGUUAUCAUUCUUCCAUAAAGAAGAGGUUUCCCUUAGGAACUGGGGCCAUUUGGCUCCCCUUCUGGAAGGGCAAUAUGUAUCCUUGAUUCUUUCUCUCCAGUUAAUGAUUUCAGAAUGAGGGAUUCAUGUUAUGGUCACCUCCAAUAACAUCAAAUGAACCUUUUAGGAGGAAGAUUCUAUCUUGUGAGUACUAUAUUGGACUCAUGAAUUAUUAUAUUUUCAAAUAUGCCCACAUCAAUUACCUUACUUUUUUAAACUUAUUAUUUUGAGAUAAUUAUAGAUUCGUGUGAAGUUGUAAGAAAUAAUACAGAGAGAACCCAUGUACCUUUUACGCAGUUUUCCCUAGUGGGAGCAUUUUGAAAAACUGUAGUACAAUAUCACAAGGAUAUUGAUGUUGAUGAUGUCAAGAUGCCGAGUAUUUCCGUUACUGUAGGAUCUCUCAUGUUGCCCUUUUAUUUAUCAUUCUUUUUGAUGCUUUGACUGUCCAAACUUUGGCCAGUAGAAACGCGUUCAAGAUUCCUGUGUCUUUUUCACAUAAUCCCAUGCUGUUUGAUUUCAUGCUUUCUGGCAGUACAAGGUGUCUCAGAGUUGCCCGUGCUUUCUGCCUGAGACCUGGAAUCCACUAUUUCUUCAAGGAGCCUUUCCUAGUUCGUGGCAUUUCCAAAGAAAAGUCCAAGGGCUAGGGGUACUCAGUGCCACUCAGUUGUCAUUGAUCCUGGGCUCUUGCAAUGCACAAAAUGGAAAUGUUUAUAUAUUUCAAAUUAAUUAAAAUAUCUUCAACUGAUGGGGAAGAUCAAAAUUAACAUUAUAUAACAUUCCCAGAUUUUUACUUAACAUUAAUUUCAAACUUUUGUCUCUUGCUCUGCAAAUCUUUUUUCCUAACAUACUUAUUUGCUUUAUGCUAUGCUAUACAUAAAAAAGUUUCAAAAUAUGAUUAUUACGGCUUACAAUAAAGUCACUGAAUCAAUA
rnacentral:lncRNA from 10 species